CCACCCCCGCGUCCUCUGUAACAUCUCCCUCCUGCUUGCCCACAGCGUGGGGUUAAAGGCUGAAGCUGGGCAGCAAAGCCUGAACUGUGUUUUCCUGUUGGCAGGGCAAAUUCAUCCGCAUCAACUUCGACGUCACGGGUUACAUCGUGGGAGCCAACAUUGAGACCUAUCUGCUAGAAAAAUCACGGGCAAUUCGCCAAGCCAGAGAUGAGAGGACAUUCCACAUCUUUUACUACAUGAUUGCUGGAGCCAAGGAGAAGAUGAGAAGUAAGUGACUAGCAAUGACAUGUGAUUGGAUGGCUUGAACCUUCCCUUUCGUCAGAAUCCGGGGUUAAGGGAUUGGCUAUUAAAACAGUCUCAGAUCCUGCCAGAAAGGACCAUGUCUGUGAGUGACAUAUGAGCAGUUCUUCAUCUCCUCACAGUGAGUGAGUGUGGCUUGUGUUCAGUCAUUCUCAUUUACUGAGUACCUACUAUGUGACAUAGUAGCCAUCGACUCCAAUUAG
rnacentral:sRNA from 1 species